rnacentral:rRNA from 1 species
AUUGAACGCUGGCGGCAGGCCUAACACAUGCAAGUCGAACGGUAGCACAGAGAGCUUGCUCUCGGGUGACGAGUGGCGGACGGGUGAGUAACGUCUGGGAAACUGCCCGAUGGAGGGGGAUAACUACUGGAAACGGUAGCUAAUACCGCAUAACGUCGCAAGACCAAAGUGGGGGACCUUCGGGCCUCACACCAUCGGAUGUGCCCAGAUGGGAUUAGCUAGUCGGUGGGGUAAUGGCUCACCUAGGCGACGAUCCCUAGCUGGUAUGAGAGGCUGAACGACCACACUGAAACUGAGGCACGGUCCAGACUCCUACGGGAGGCAGCAGUGUGGAAUAUUGCACAAUGGGCGCAAGCCUGAUGCAGCCAUGCCGCGUGUAUGAAGAAGGCCUUCGGGUUGUAAAGUACUUUCAGCGGGGAGGAAGGCGGUGGAGUUAAUAACUUCACCGAUUGACGUUACCCGCAGAAGAAGCACCGGCUAACUCCGUGCCAGCCGCCGCGGUAA